AUUUGGUCGUAUGGAGCAGCAAUAGAAACAGAAGAUGAAGAAGAGUGGAAUUGCUAGCAGUAGCAUAUUUGCAAUGUGGGAAAAGGCUUCAAAGGCAAGGAAAAUGGAUGAAGUAUCCACACCGAAUCAGACAGUAGCUGCAUCUAGUACAUGUACUUCUCCUGUUCAUAUUGAGAGCAAUUUACAAUUGGUGUUAUGGCAAGAACCAGAGAGUAGAGGAGAAACCUCAACACCUCAUGUACAACAUGAGCAAGAACCAGAGAGUAGAGGAGAAACCUCAACACCUCAUGUACAAGAUGAUGAAUCUAUUGAUGAAGAUGAUGAACCGAUGCAAGCAGAUUUGGAGGCACUCGAACAUGAUCCUGGAAUGCAGAUUCCCAUCUCAGUGUAUGCUGUCAAUGACCAAGAUAGAGUAAGAAGGAGAUAUAUUGAGAUGGGGUCAUGUCAACCAAAGAAUCAUAAGUUCAAGUUUACAAAUAAAAGUGGAAAAGAGUGUCGCUUUUGCCGUGUUUGGUUUAAAGAAUUUCCAUGGAUUGAGUAUAGUGUGGAAAAAGAUAGGGCUUUCUGCUUUGUUUGCUAUUUGUUCAAGGAUAAAACAAGAUGUCCCGGUGGAGAUGCUUUUGUGAAGAAGGGAUUUAAUAACUGGAACAUGAAGUCGAGAUUGAAGAAACAUGAAGGUGAGGUUUGUAGUGCUCAUGCUGAAGCUCAAGAGAAGUAUGAUAGGUUCACUACACCACAAACAUCAAUUCGGGAGUCUAUUUCUUCAAACACCUCACAAUACAAAGCUUUGUAUAAACAGCGUUUGACAUGGACACUCAAGUGUGUGAGAUUUCUGUUGCGGCAAGGCUUGGCAUUUAGAGGACAUGAUGAAAGUGAAGACUCACUAAAUGCAGGAAAUUUCCUCGAGCUUCUAAAUUGGCUAGCAGGAAAUUUUGAAGAGGUUGACAGGGUUGUUCUCAAGAAUGCUCCACGGAACUGCAAGAUGACUCACCAUGAUAUACAACAAGAGGUGAUAAAAUGUUGUGCACAAGAGACUACUAAACUAGUCAUUCAAGAACUUGAUGGUGGUCAUUUUGCAAUACUUGCAGAUGAGUCUAGUGAUGUGUAUCAGAAUGAACAGUUGGCUGUUUGCUUGCGUUAUGUUGAUAAGAAAGGAAGGGCGGUUGUAAGAUUUCUUGGUCUUGCUCAUGUUGAAGAUACUACCUCUUUGACAAUAAAAGCUGCAAUUCAAAAAAUGCUUAUGGACUACAAUUUGACCUUUGCGAUGGUUCGUGGGCAAGGAUAUGAUGGAGCUAGCAACAUGAGAGGUAAUGUUAAUGGCCUGAAAAAACUGAUUAUGGAUGAGUCCCCUUCUGCCUACUAUGUUCAUUGUUUUGCCCAUCAACUACAGUUAACUCUUGUUGCUGUUGCUAAGGAGAGUGGUGAUUGUACUUGGUUCUUUCAGCAGCUUGCACACUUGUUAAAUGCUCUUGGCAUGUCUUGUAAAAAGAUGAGAAUGCUUCGGAUAGCUCAGGCUGAAGAACUCAUUGAUGCAUUGGAAUUGGAAGAAGUAGAAACAGGGAGUGGGCUGAAUCAGGAACUGGGUUUGGGAAGGCCAUGUGAUACACGUUGGGGCUCUCACUUCAAAACUGUGAACCAUGUCAUCUCUAUGUAUGGUGCACUACGACGAGUCCUUUGCAAGAUUGGAGACGAGUACCAUGGUGUGGAGGCACAAGCGGCUCUAUCCAUAGAGACAGUAUUUCGAUCAUUUGAGUUUGUUUUCAUGGCACACUUGAUGCAAGAAAUAUUUGGAUACACAGAUGAGUUGUGUAGAGCUUUGCAAAAGCAAGACGAAGAUAUUGUUCAUGCUAUUGAGCUUGUUCGUGACACAAAGUAUUACUUGGAGGCUUUGAGGACCGAUGCUGGAUGGGAUGAUUUUCUCACAAAGGUCACAUCUUUUUGUACAAAGCAUAAGAUCAAAGUUGUUGAUAUGGAGGGUCCUUACUUUCCCGUUGGCCGGCCUAGAAGGGGUUUAUGUAAUGGUCCAAUCAAUUACCACCGCUUCAAGGUUGAUAUGUUUGUGGGUGUCAUUGAUAGGCAAAUCAGUGAGCUGAAUGGCAGAUUUGAUGAGGUAAACACAGAACUACUUUCUUGCAUGGCAGCAUUCUGUCCACUUCAUCUAUUUGCUGCUUAUGACCAAGAGAAGUUGGUUAGGCUUGCUACAAAGUUUUAAGCUUCUGAUUUUACAAGUGAUGAACUGGCAAGACUUCCAUGGCAACUAAACAUGUAUGUUACUAAUGUGCGUAGAGAUGAAAGGUUCCAAAACCUGAAAAAUCUGUGUCAACUUUCAGUUGUGCUUGUGGAGACAAACAAGCAUGAACAAUAUCAUAUUGUUUACAAGCUUCUUAAGUUGGUAUUGAUUCUGCCAGUAGCUACUGCUAGUGUUGAAAGGGUAUUCUCUUCAAUGAGCCAUGUGAAGAAUAAGCUAAGAAGCAAAAUGGGUGAUGAAUAUUUGAACAGUUGUUUGGUUACAUUUGUUGAGAGAGAAUUUUUCAAUCAAGUGAAGGAUGAAGAUGUCAUCAAUCUCUUCCAAAAAGGCGACCGCAAAGUUAUAUUGUAAGGAUAUCAUCACUUUAUCAAUCAAAAGGUUGAGAAGCCUCACCAAUGAAGAAGGCUGGCCAGACCUCCUCCUCAGCGCCAUUUGCGCCUAGUGAGGGAAGUAGGCUCACGCGCCCUGCAAGUGUGGGCCGGCCCAAAAAGCGAGCUUUUGCUCGCUCAUACCCCUCCAUUUGCUUGGUUGGUUGGUCAACCAUUGACAGGUUGGCCAUUGAUCAGUUAACCAUUGACUUUUGAAAAGAAUCACGGGUUCAACAAAAUGUUUGUGAGUUUGUAAAAAAGUUUACGCAUUUGAAAAAAAUUCAUGGAAUUGAAAAAAAUCAUGAAUUUAGAAAAAACUUUACAAAUUCAAAAAUUCUUUGCGACUUUCAAAAAAGUUAAUGAAUUUGAAGAGAAUGUUCAUGGAUUUGAAAAAAAUUAUGAGUCUGAAAUAAAAGUUCGUGAAUUUGAAAAAAAAAAUUGAAACAGAUAAAGAAGAGAAAUAGAAAAAAAAACAGACAUAACCUGGCUCAAUAAAAGUAGAAACGAAAAGAGAAAAAAACGACCGAAAGUUUUGAGUCGGAAGCUAUGCUUGCUAAGGGCAUGUACAAUGGUUCGUAAGGUAGUCUUAUCUUAAGUCUUGCAUAUAAUUUAGAAAUGACAAAAAAAACAUGUCUACAAUGGGUC